rnacentral:misc_RNA from 1 species
UAGUAAGAAGACUAAAGUGCGAAACAUGUUCAAUUAACGCCAAGAAAAUGCUUCCGUUUACGCCUCCUUCAACCAUACCCGAAUUUUUUACUCAAAAUUUAUGUACGUACUUUUGGCUGUAUUACAAGAAUCCAUAGCUAACCUCUGUAAAAGGAUAUCACCUUAUACACAAAGGCUAGGUUAUCCUGCUACCACUAUAAAGAAAAUGAAAGUUCCCAUAAUGAAGUCUGUAUUUUGAAUGUAUAUUGUCACUUUAUUUCGCCUACAACCUUCACGCGAACUCAGCAAAAAAGGGAAAACCCUAUUUUACAGCGGCUUCAAAUCAGGUCCUUAUUAGUGCGACCAAUUGGCCUUUCUUCCUUAAAAUGGCGAUUGCCGUUUAAGGAAUAUCACUAGAAGCCGUUAGCAGCUAUUAUUUAAAUUGGUAGUUUCAACAAGUAAAUCGAAGAAGGCAUAUCUCUUUAUACUUUGAGUGGCAACUCAAGAAAUUGUUAAAAUUAGCUGUUAAAAAUUUGCCAUAAAUAUAGAGAGUGAAUGUCGUUUUGUUUACUAACAGUAGUACUCAUGUACUCUAAUCUAAAUAGCUGUUUAUUUCCAAAAAAAAUAGUUUUAUAGCUUAUUAUUCGUAAUAAUUAGUAUUCAACCUUAGAUUUGUAAUAUGCGCUCCGUUGCAAAUGCAAAAAGAUACUAUUAGAGAAGAGCCGAUUUUUUAAAUUCUCGAUGCCGCUGGAUCAUUUCCACUGUCUGUCUCAUUAUUUAUUCUGUUUUUUUAUAUGAUUCGAUUUUAUUUGUCUUUUUCAUUUAUAGCAUUGGUCGAUUGAAAUCAAAAUUUGCAUUUUUUGUAUUCCAUUCGGGUUGCCGCCAAUGUGUGCCCCUAGUGUGUGCCCCUAGUGUGUCAGGUAAAUAACAGCAGUCGAGACAGCGCAAUAACCAUUGCUUUACAGAAAUGAGUAGUAAAUCUGUAAUAAUCUUUGAACUCUUGAUUGAAACAUUUUUAAUUUAUUGCCUCUAUUUUUUAAUGCAAUCCCGUUCCAUCUUUCCUCUAGCAAUUUCUCGAUCUAUCCAAAAGAUAUAGGGAGAUUGAAGGUGUCCUAAUGUGCGAUUACGUAUCCCUCAUCGGUAAACGGCGCACGACUCCGUUUACCGACAGUCGUUAAGUACCUUGAUUCAGCGAGUGCUACGGUAACAACGGGUUAAAGGUAUCAUCUUGUUAUCUGAGUCGGAUGGCCCAAGGUAUCACAAUAUAUGAAGGAAAAAGAGUACUUUAUUCGCGUUUCCCAUUUUCUACUCUAUCUUCCAUUCCAAUAUAUAAAUUGGACUUUUGCUCGUGUGCAAGUUUUUCGCGCUUUUUA